AUUGAACGCUGGCGGCAGGCCUAACACAUGCAAGUCGAGCGGGGUUUUCGGACCUAGCGGCGGACGGGUGAGUAAUGCGUAGGAAGCUACCCGAUAGAGGGGGAUACCAGCUGGAAACGACUGUUAAUACCGCAUAAUGUCUACGGACCAAAGUGUGGGACCUUCGGGCCACAUGCUAUCGGUUGCGCCUACGUGGGAUUAGCUAGUUGGUGAGGUAAUGGCUCACCAAGGCGAAGAACCCUUGCUGGGUUUAGAGGAUGAUCAGCCACACUGGAUCUGCGACACGGUCCAGACUCCUACUGGAGGGAGCAGUGGGGAAUAUUGGACCAUGGGCGCAAGCCUGAUCCAGCCAUGCGGCGUGUGUGAAGAAGGCCUUCGGGUCGUAAAGCUCUGUGGGGAGAGACGAAAGCCCUGAGGUUAAUACCCUCAGGUUUGACGGUACCUCCUUAGCAAGCACCGGCUAACUCCGUGCCAGCCGCCGCGGUAACAC
rnacentral:rRNA from 1 species